rnacentral:rRNA from 1 species
GAGCACGUGAAAUUCCGUGUGAAUCUGCGAGGACCACCUCGUAAGGCUAAAUAUUACUGAAUGACCGAUAGUGAAACAGUACCGUGAGGGAAAGGUGAAAAGAACCCCGGGAGGGGAGUGAAAAGAACAUGAAACCGUAAACUUACAAGCAGUAGAAGGACGACUAAAACGUCUGCCUGCGUGCCUGUUGAAGAAUGAGCCGGCGACUCAUAGGUAGUGGCAGGUUAAGGCAGUGAAUGCUGGAGCCACAGUGAAAGCGAGCCUGAAUAGGGCGUUUGUCACUAGUUAUGGACCCGAACCCGGGUGAUCUAACCAUGGUCAGGUUGAAGCUUAGGUAAUACUAAGUGGAGGACCGAACCGACUGAUGUUGAAAAAUCAGCGGAUGAAUUGUGGUUAGGGGUGAAAUGCCAAUCGAACUCGGAGCUAGCUGGUUCUCCCCGAAAUGCGUUUAGGCGCAGCGGUAGAUU